rnacentral:rRNA from 1 species
GACGAACGCUGGCGGCGUGCCUAAUACAUGCAAGUUGAGCGCUGAAGGUUGGUACUUGUACCAACUGGAUGAGCAGCGAACGGGUGAGUAACGCGUGGGGAAUCUGCCUUUGAGCGGGGGACAACAUUUGGAAACGAAUGCUAAUACCGCAUAAAAACUUUAAACACAAGUUUUAAGUUUGAAAGAUGCAAUUGCAUCACUCAAAGAUGAUCCCGCGUUGUAUUAGCUAGUUGGUGAGGUAAAGGCUCACCAAGGCGAUGAUACAUAGCCGACCUGAGAGGGUGAUCGGCCACAUUGGGACUGAGACACGGCCCAAACUCCAACGGGAGGCAGCAGUAGGGAAUCUUCGGCAAUGGACGAAAGUCUGACCGAGAAACGCCGCGUGAGUGAAGAAGGUUUUCGGAUCGUAAAACUCUGUUGGUAGAGAAGAACGUUGGUGAGAGUGGAAAGCUCAUCAAGUGACGGUAACUACACAGAAAGGGACGGCUAACUACGUG